rnacentral:rRNA from 1 species
UACAGAGGGUGCGAGCGUUAAUCGGAUUUACUGGGCGUAAAGGGAGCGUAGGCGGUUGUAUGAGUGUGAUGUGAAAGCCCCGGGCUCAACCUGGGAAGCGCAUCGCAAACGAUACGACUAGAGUAUAUGAGAGGGUGGCGGAAUUUCCGGUGUAGCGGUGAAAUGCGUAGAGAUCGGAAGGAACGUCAAUGGCGAAGGCAGCCACCUGGCAUAAUACUGACGCUGAGGCUCGAAAGCGUGGGGAGCGAACAGG